rnacentral:rRNA from 1 species
GACGAACCGUGCGAACGUUGUUCGGAAUCACUGGGCUUAAAGGGCGCGUAGGCGGCUUGCCAAGUCAGGGGUGAAAUCUUUCGGCUCAACCGGAAAAGUGCCUCUGAUACUGGCGAACUCGAGGGAGGUAGGGGUAUGCGGAACUUCCGGUGGAGCGGUGAAAUGCGUUGAUAUCGGAAGGAACGCCGGUGGCGAAAGCGACGUACUGGACCUCUUCUGACGCUGAGGCGCGAAAGCUAGGGAGCAAACGGG